UUUCUUUUAGAAGAGAGGGCCACCUCAUUCAGACUUCUCCAGGGGAAGUCGUUCUUCCCCUCAUUCCUUUUCAGACUGGCCUCCUUCUACAAAUACAGAUUUUAACCAGAGGGUAAUUGUUAGAAAGUGCAGUUUGCAAAAAUGUCAGUAACCUGAAUGCCAAGUUUACUAAUGAAUUGUGACUAGGCUGUUGUUAGUGCCGCCACACUCUCACCUGAAGACCCACAAUCUCCCCUGGACAGAGGGAAACUGGCUGUCCCUCUGUUACUGCUCAGCUACUGCACUGAGGUGGGGUGGCACCAGGGGGACUGGCAUGAAGGUCACAUGAGGGGAGAGUUCCUUUUACAUCUCAGAAGUCUCUUAUUAUAAGGAUCUGCCAACUGCAAGGAGAGAAGAGCCCUGCAGAGCAGAGGGACCUGCCAGAGCGCUGCAGGCAUCAACUUUGCUGGCGUCUUGGAAAGACGCCCCACGUCUCCAUAACAACUAACCAUCCAGCCCUUAGCACUGACAGGGAUGGAGACCUUUUUUGGAGGAGCAGAUCCGGAAGAAAGGUCAGGUGGUUACCUGAAUCCCAAGUCUCUUUGUUUUGUUUUGUUUUGUUUUUCUCCUUUUGCAGCUGUUUUUCUUACUAGAAGCUAGGCAGAAAGAGUUGUUACUCAGAUUUCUUGAACUUGAGACGUCAAAGGUGAGACGCCAGCCAAGGAGAAGGGAUGGUCAGGGAAGCUUCUGGGGAUACCGACAGUAUUUUAUUUUUUGAACUCAGUGGUAGUGACACAAAUUUUCUAUAAUAAUUUGCUAUUUUGUAAUUUUUCAUUUUAUAGACUUUUCUGUCUAUACUAUUUUUUUAAAGUCUUUAAAAAAUAAAUUGGGCAAACUGCUCUUCAGGGACCCAUCGUCAUUGCCAGCAUUUAUUAAGUAUCUUCUGGCACAGGACAGAAAUCAGUCUGCAAAUCACCCUGUGUCACAGCCCUGGAAAGCAGGACUGAGAACCAGAAAACUUCAGUGGAAGUCAUUGGUCCCAGUGGCCAAAGCACCAAACUGAAGAAGAAAGUGAAGAGGUCAGGGGCAAUCACAACAAGUCAUAGGAUCAAUGGGCUAGAGGCCCCAGAGAACUUGUUGAUGCAGUUUGCUGUUAUCCCAGCUUUAGAGCUCUGCCUAUAAACAAAGUCAUAGAGAGGGGAAUGUGAUUCAUGAUUUGUACCUGCCUUGGAAGGGCCUGAAGUGAAUUGGGGUACGCAGGGCCCUGGCCAUCAGUGAAAGAGUGGGUCUUCUGCUGCCCUGCUGAUCCACUGCUGAGGGUAACUCAUGGUCCCAGCACAGCCUUCACUGAACUGUCAGGCACAUGAAGCAAUCAGGAGUCUAGAUUGAGUUUCCAAAACAGGAGCACCUCUUUGCUCUCUGUAAGCCUCCACUGAUGGCUCAUGCCAGCCACAUGGCUCCCCUAGCCUCCCCUGCACCCACCGGAGGCUGUUAAUAGACCUGUCAUUGUGCUCAUGUUGGAUUAAUGACCACUGUUCUCCUUCCCAAAUCCUACACAUUGUUUAAGAGAAAGCCUAAACGCUGCCUCUGCCAUGAAGCCUCUCCAGACCUCUUCAGUAGAGCUAACGUCUCCAGGGCUGUUUGCUCAAUACUUCCUUUCAGGUAUCAGUCCCCUCAGAUAUCACUUGUUUCUCUGCUUAUCAGUCCUCAUUACAUUCUAGUCCAGUGGCUACAUCCAUCAGUCUCCCGGCUAAGAACCUGAGGUCAGGAGCCAGGGCUUAUUAAUUCUUAUAUUUCAUAGCAUCUAGCACUGGGCCUGGUGGAUUUGUAGCAGGUGUGCAACAAACAAUCAAUAUUUAUUAAUAUAUCAGGGUCCAAGAGCACAGACCCAGUAACCAGGAAGGAAGGUUCUUUAGGUUGUCAGAGAACACAAAGGGCCUGGCAGGAGGGAGGCCAAGCAUCACAGAGAACCUUCACCUUUCAAAUCUACCCACUUCUCUCCAUCUCAGCUUCUCUCCCCUGGUUGACUCCUAAGCUUCAUAAUCAUUUACAUUGUAUCAUGCAAUGGUACAAUUCCCACUUAGUUCUGCCCCUCAUUCUCCACACUGAAGCCAGAGAGAUACCACAAGGUUUCUAUCAGUCACAUCAUGCCUGUGCUUAAACUCUUCUCAGGGACUCCCCCUUGCUCUUAGGCAAAAGUUAAGGCCCUCAGCAUGGCCGUCGAAGAUGCUCUGGCACAUCUGGCCUUUGCCAGGCAUCUGGCCACAUACUGAAAUACUCUUGGCCUCACCUCCCUUAAUCCACAGCAAUACUGGACAUUCUUGCAUUCCUUCAAUGAGCACUCCUCUUUUCUAAUUCAGGGAUCUGCAUGUCCUAGGUUUCCUUUUCCUGUAACAACCUUCUUCACACAGUCAUAUUCCAGAUGUCCUACUCAUAUUUAAGAUCUCUCCCCAGGAAGCCUUUCCUAACUCACCCUCCACCUCCACUCCACCACCACCAUUGCUAUCAGUCAAUAAAACCUUCCAAUCAUGUGGUCUUUGCACUGCUCCUUCAUAACACUCAAGGCAUUUGCAAGUACUUGUUCAGGGCCUCUUUGCUUCACUAGACUAGAGGUGGGCAAAUUGUUUCUGUAAAGGGCCAGAUAGGAAAUAUUUUAGGCUUUAGCAUAUGGUCUCUGUUGCAACUAUUCAGCUCUGUUGCUGGGGGGCAAAAGUGGCCUUAGACAAUAUAUAAACAAAGGAGUGUGGUUGUAUUCCAGCGGAAUUUUAUUUAGAGACAUUGAAAUCAGAAUUUCAUACCAUUUCAUGUUUCAUGAAAUAUUCUUCAUUUAAAAUUUUUGUUCAACUAUUUAAAAAUGUGAAAACCAUUCUUAGCUAAUGGGCCAUACAAAAACAGAUGGCAGGCCAGACUUGGCCCACAGCCUGUGGUGUGCCAGCUCCUGCACUAGACUAUCAGUUUCCUAGAGACGGAAGCCACGUCUUGUUCACAGAUGUAUCUCUCCAGCACAGUGUCUUGUUCUCACAAGGCGGUUCAUAAAAAUUCACUGAAUGCCUUGAUAUGUGGACUAGAGCCAUGUUUCCCAGUGUAAAUUCACGGAACACCAGUCUGAUGGGAAACUCCAUACAAAAGGGACACUUCUCUUUGCAGUGAAAUCUGGAAAUGCCAUCAUUCCUCUUCUAACAAAUGUUCAAUGCUCACUGCAUACAGCAUAGCAAAAGCUCAGAGAUAGCCUUCAGUCAAGGAACCUGUUCAACAUAGACCAAUACAAUGCUGCCCACACUCAUUUUGACCAAAUAACUUUCUUCUUUAACCCAAAAUAUCUGCCAGUGUCCAAGGGCAGCCCCACUGAAAAGUGAUGCAGUGAGGAGAGACGGCAGAAUUUAGAGGAAUGGGUCUCAAACUUUAGUGUGCAUCAGAGUCACCAGGAAGGCUUAUUAAAAUAAGAAACUACCCCAGCCCAGAGUUUCCAAUUCAGUAGGCUUAGGUUGGAGCAUAAGAAUUUACAUGCCUUACAUGUUUCUCAGCUGACGCUAAUGCUGAUGGCUAGGGGAACCCCGUUUUGAGAAACACUGAUCUGCAGAAUAAAUGAUUUCAAGGCUUCGGUCCUCUAGCUGGAGUUUGCUCCUCCAUCCAAGGAUCUUAUUCCCAGGUGAACUCCAACUUGUCCACUUUCUCACACUGGCAGUAGCAGCUCUGACCCAUCUUUCUAGUCUUAGGCACCUGUAAUGGGUUGCAGUGUUUUUUUCCAAAAGAUUUGUUUCAAUAGUAAUCCCCAGUUCCUGUGAAGGUAAGCCUUAUUUGGAAAGAAGGUCUUUGCAGAUGUAAUCAAGUUAAAAUGAGGUCAUACUGGAGUAGGGUGAGCUCCUAAUCCAAUAUGACUGGUGUCCCUAGGAGAGGAGGAAAGAGACACACAUAGGGAGAACGCCCCAUGACCAAAGAAGCAGAGACUGGAGUGGUGGCUGCAAGUCAAAGACUGCCAGCCACCAGCAGAAACACGGAAGAUGCAAGGAAGGAGAAACCCUACAGGCUUCAGAGGGAGGCUGGCCCUGCUGACAUCUUGAUUUAAGCCUUCCAGCCUUCUGAACUGUGAGACAAUAAAUUAACAUUGUUUUAAGUCAACCCCGUUGUUAUGGCAUCACUAAGAAACAUUCUAGUCCAAGGACAGAUAAAGCUCUGGCCAAGGCCUUAUUCUUGGUAGGUGUCCACAUGAACUCUGAAGGAGGAAGCCACGAUGUCAGCUGUCUGUUCCCUUUGUCAUCACUGCUAGACAGCCAGCAUGUAAUUUCAAAUGUCCAGUCCAUCCAUGAACAAUAUGUUAGCCUUUGGCCAGGCGGUGAGCUUCCAAAAUGCAAACAUCUCAGCCUCUGUCUGCAGAGGUGAGAAUUCAGCUUGGCAGAGGAAUGGGACACUGUCAAGGAAGACAAGCUUUUGGAGUCAGACAAUCCCAGGUUUGCAUAUUGGCCUUGUUUUGUUGGUUUGUUUUGCUUUGUGUUAAAAUCUAAUUUAUUCUGCAAACUACAGCAGGUUAGUUAAUCCUUUGAAACCUCAGGUUUCUGAGCUAUAAUACAGGAAUAAUUAUAAGUGCUUUGCAGCAGAUUUGUGAGGAUUCUGAGAGUUGUUGGAUGUGUCUAGCACAUUCCUUCUAACUUAUAAAGCAUUAUAUGCCAAGUAUGAAUCUAAGUAAUGCACAUGCCCUAAUCUUUUCCAUCCUUACAACUAUUUAUAGCACUGCCCCCAUAUGGCAAAUGAAGGCUCAGAGAGGUCAAGGCACCUGCCCACAGUCACAAAGUCAGUAAGCAGCUGAUUCUGGAGCUGGUGCUCUCACCACAGGGACUGCUAUAUACCCAUAGUGGAAGCCUGGGGCUAGGAAUGAAGAUCUGUGUUCAUUCAUUCAUUCAUUCAUUCAUUCAACAAUUCACCUGGGCAUCUCUGAGAGAGGAUUACUCACAACAGGUUCUCAGACAAAAAAAAAAAUACAAUCUCUCCUUCCAGGAGUUGAAGAUCUCUCAGGGGAAACAGACAAGUACCCAAAACUAAAUCAAGGUAGAAUAUGACACCAGGGAGGAAGAGAGUAUGGCAGAGGACCUGUUAAAUGGCAGGAACAGACUGAUUUAAUGAAGGUGGUGGUAUUUCUGCUGAGCCUCAAAGGAUAGGCAUGAUUUUGACAGAUGCACUCAGCCUGGUUCAGUCCAAAUUAGGGCCCCCUUGUUCUUUCUCAUCACAACCCAUUCAUUUCCUUUGUUGGACUCACUGUGAUUUUAAUUUCACAGCUAUUUGCUGAUUUAUUUGUUCAAUGCUGGUCUCCCACACUAGACCAUGAGCAGGAAGGAGAGGCAGCAUGCAACUGUGCUCGUUGUCUACACAGGGCCUAGCACUGGGCCUGGGCCAGGGCAGGCACCUGGGAGGUAUGUGCUGAAUAAAUGAAUGGAUGGAUGGGUGGAUGGAUGGGUGGAUGGAUGAGUGGAUGGAUGGAUGGAUGGAUGAGUGGAUGGAUGGAUGGAUGGAUGGAUGGAUGGAUGGAUGGAUGGAUGAGGAUAUAAGUAUUGGCAGGCUGGUGGCAGCUUGCAGAAGGAGAGCACAUUAUCUAUAAACACAUUGCCCCGAUUUAUUUAACAUUGUAGUCACUCCAAAUCUUGGUUACCCUCACCUGAAUUUUCUCUUUUGGGGGAAGUUUUACACAACCACCCCAGUUUCCCUAAAUGCCCCCUCCCUGGAUUCCUGCAGCACUUGAAUUUAGGCUUCUGAGCACUGGUAUCUCCCCAAAUAGAUGAGACUCCCCAUGUGGGCAGCAGCCCUGCCUUCUCCUUCAUGUUUGUCCACAGUGCUUGGGUGAGAUCUGGACAUGUAGCCCACACUCUGUUGAAACCUGCCCAUGGCAUGCAGCUGAGGGGCCCUGCCUUCUCCUUGUCCUCAUUUAUUGCCAUCAGUCAACCACCAAUCAUCCCACAUCGACCCCAGAGGCAUUGGUCUUGGGGUCUCCCUGGUGCGGCAAUGUGGGCUGCCUUCCCAGCCUUGUCCAGGUGGCAGGACUUCUGCUGCUGACAACAGGGCUGUGAUACUCAGCUCCCCAAGGCUGAACUGGAUGACUAAGAGUCCUAAUGAUUCUGGUAUUUUUUCAGGACCUGUCUCCAAAGGCAGGAGGACAUUUAAAAAUGCAUGGGUCUCUGCUAGGUGACACAUCCUGCUUAGGAGUCUGCUGGCCUCCAGUCUGGGACAACAGAGCACUUCAAAUAGGCACCUGUGUUCAUCGCGGUGCUUUCUGUCCACACAGGGCCUUGGUUUCUGAGGCUGAGAGAGGAUAAGCUAAGCAAGGGGCAGAACAGGACACCAACCAUCUCCAGACCCCAGUACAACACAGAUGGCAGGCCAAAGAGGGACUGUGUCGUCUGAUUCAAGAGUACAGACUACACAGCCAGAAUAAUCGGGGCCUGGCUUGGACUCUCUUUAAAUAUUCAUUCCUCAUCUGUAAAAUGAGCAUAUGAGUCCCACUUCACCAGACUGUAGGACAUACGUGAAGGACUCUGCAGUGUCUGGAACAUAUUUAUGGCCCCUGAAAUAAACAGUUAUUGAUGACAGAGAUGAAAAGAAGAAGAUCCAAUGGAGUAAUCUUCAAGGCCUGCUUCAAGUCUUGCCUUGAUUGCUGCAAGAGAGAAGGUCACCUAUCUCCCCAGGUAGCCUCUCUCACCCUGACAAUGUAUCUUCACAGGUAAGGGACAAAGACAAGACUAGAAAUCAUCCCUCUGCCCACCUCAAGACAAAUGCAGAUCUGACUUCUUCUUCCUCUACUCUAUGUUUACUUUAUCUUAUGUAAAAUACAAGAUUUACUGAGCAGGAGCCGAAUGCA
rnacentral:lncRNA from 1 species